AAGUGUUAACACCUCUUCUAAAAUUUGUCUAGCAGGUUUUUCUGGUCCUCAACAGAAGCCCUC
ensembl:snRNA U7 U7 small nuclear RNA